UUGACGUGCGUUUGUUUUCCUCCUCUCUCGCUACCAAACACGCUGGAUGAGAGAAGAGGUCUCACUCUGCGCAUUUUUCUCGGCACCUGGGGGCGUUGGCUCUAUAGCGGAAUGAAUGGAGUUAGUGAACCCUCCUGUCAGUCAUUCAGUGUCUUUGUCACGAGGGGGCUGGCGCGCACAGGCACACAGACACAGACUUAUGGAUACAGUGCUGCAAGUGAGCGUCGUGAGUGAAAAGCAAGCUAACAGAAUGAACACGACAGCUUUGGCGUCUAAACCGAACGCAACAGCCCAAGUGUGGGAAUAUUUCGGCUUUAAACCAGUUUAAUUUUCGUCAACCACAAAACUCCACGUGUGUGUGCGCGCGAGCGUGUGUGUCUGUGUGUUGGAGGAGCACAGCAGGAUGAUGAGAGCUGUCAGAGCGGACUGAAGCUGCUCCUAUAUGUUUAGCGUUUAACUGACUGAGUUUUGCAACUCUGUUCGUCAUUUUCGUCUCGUCCCAUCAACGUAAACGCACUUUCCUCUCGUCACAUUUUAGUCAUCUCCGACUUAUGUUUAGCUCGUCAACGUUACGUCUUCGUCGUGGGUGAAAUUAAAGUUUAUCACUUUUGACAUGGUCUACUCGCAUUAUUAUGCCAUUUAAUAUCAUUAUCUAUAAUUUAAAAAACGGUGUCAAUAAUAUCGUUUAUCUGCAAUAAUUUGUAGCACAAUUAUCGUCCAGCAAAAUCGGGACUUUUAUUGUUAUCACCAGAAUGGCGAAUCUUAUCGUAAUAAACUUUUUAGCCCAUAUUGCCCAUCCCUACUGAGCAGGACUAAGGUUAAGCUGGUUUGUGAGGAGGCAGUAACAGGGGUGUCUGUAGUCUAGCAUUCUGGGAUGGGCACCAGACUGUAUCACGGUGUGUGCAGGUUCACUUGGGUGUAAAAUGCAUCAAGUGGAAAAUAACAGUGACUCUGACUCUGCAUGCCAACAUACAUGAGUGAUGUCAACGAAGUAAAUUGUAGUUAAAAACCUUCACUAGGUUUGAACUUUGUGUAUCUUUUUGGAUUAAUGUCUGGCUCUGUGCUACACAUGAAGUCACAAAUCCAACAAGCCGUGCAGAGCUGCAGGGAAACAGACUAAACCAAUCAGGGUGAUAACAAGACGGACAGGGAGGAAGGAGACAGAGAGACGGAUACAAACAGCUCUCACUGAUGAGCCUGUGGGCCGCAUGGCUGCCUGUCUCAAAAAUGUCAAACAGGGCAGCAGACGCCUGAGUCAGAGAGUUGAAAAUAAUGUCAGGCUGCAGUGAAGUCGAGUCACCAGACACCCAGGACCUGAGAGCGAGCCACAACCGCAAAUCAGCACAGAUCCGGACCCACACCGCACAGUCACGGCUUCAUUUCCUCCUCCUCCUCCAGGACGUGUUAAAACGAGUUAAAAUUUACCUCCAUGAAGCGUGACUUCUUCUUUCUCUCUACCUGCUGUUGAGUGGAGUGUAUUUGGCUGUGAACGAGACACCUCGAUGUCCUCACACCACAAAACCACAAGAUAAAGCAGAUGCCAAAUGUCACGCUUGCAUAUCUGCUUUUGGAGAUACGUCCCCUCACUAUUCAGGCUGACAGUGUGGGAAAGUUUUCAAAGUCGUCUUUGAGCAGAACAGCGGUUCAUAUAUGUCUGUGUUUGCUGCAGGUCCCGGCCAUCAGAGCUCCUCCACUGGCAGCACAGCUGGAUCCAGUCAGCCAUCCAGCAGCAGGCGCGCUGUGGCUGUGGGCGGUGUGAGCGUUGUCACUCCUCACCGAGUCCAAACCUGGAGAUUUAUUCUGCAACUUUUCUCAGCUGUUAUAACAGAGAGACCCUCCGCAGUCGAUGCUGAGAGUGCCUCAUCAAUCAGUCUUAGCUGGUAUCGAUCCCGCUUUUGUUCUGCAGCUCGCAAAAACAGUAAGUGGAUAGAGAGGCCACAAGGUGCGAGACCGAAUCUGUUGACUUUGCUGUCGAGACUUGAGUGCAGUGUCAAGGUCCUGCUGCUGGCCCCCACAGGGUCAGAUCGAUGACGGGCUAAAUCAGUAUCUGUCCCCUGACACCAGGUCACAAAAGAAGAGAAUUAAGAUCUCCAGGAUGUGGCCCUUUUUUCGAGAGAAACUAGAAUUAAAACGUUUCAUGUUAUAACUCUGUUAGUCCAGAGAUAAGGAAAAGCAGCGUGAGCGCCAGUGUUCUCAGGCAAAGAGCCAUUUAUUGUUUAAAAGCCACAAAAUCAAAAGAAAAACAAAUAUGCCAGUACGUCGAUUUGAUUACCAGUCCAAAGAAAACAAAGGGAAGAGCUGCGAGGGGCGCCAAAUCAGAGUACAAACCAAAUAAAACAGGCUCUUAUCUGAAGUACGAGGCCUGACCUGCUGCACAACGAACAGAAAAAACAAUCCAAGCCCAAAACAGAAGCCGGCGUGUGAGCCUGAGUUUUAACCUUAUUGGAAAUUUAAGUAUGAUUUUAAAAUUGAUGUUGGAAGACCCAGUGACCUUUAGAAAUCAGAGAAAGUUCAGACCUGAAGCCUAAAAUGACGUGGCCUCGCUGUACCACACCUGUCUGCUGUGACUCAAAACGACAAUGACGUGUCAGAAAUGUCGAUUUUCUGCACGCCGUUCGUCCCCGUCUACAGGAGUGAUCUCAGACACACGGCUCUUGUCUUCGCAGGCGUGCUGGCGUGGGAUGCUACCUCUCCUGUGAGUCAGGUGGCGUUCAGUUUACACCAUGAUUUCAUCCUUUAGGUUGACUCAUGUCCUAUUGUUCCAGACUGUGCUGAGGUGUUCCAGCAUUACACCCAGCUCUGUUUACAGUGACAAAUCUGUCCUUCAAUCGCUCUGACAGCCACUAUUUAUAACCGCUCUACCAUGUGUCUGUUCUGUUACUAUGACAACCCAGAUGAUACUUAAAAAAACUGAGAUUUAGACAAAGACCUCACCUCAGAUAAAACUUGCAGGUCUGAUGUAUGUCAUGCAGCUAUGGAGGACCUGAAAGAAAAAUGUAUUCUUAGCGCAGCAGCUCCUGGCAUCACGGCAAACCUCCUCAGUUUCUGUGUUUUAAACUGAAGGAUGGAAAGGAAACACAAGCAAAAUAAAUUCUGGUAACACAUCUAGUAACAGUUUCUUUCAUUAAGAUAUUAAAAAUAACAGCAGCAGGAAGGAUCUGCAAGAAAAUAAAAGCAUAAACAGACGAAAGUACAUCGUAACAAUCUCCACAGUUUCGGAUAUGCACCAACAUCUGCAUGUAAUCUAAGAUUUUAAACCGUUGUGUCUUAACACAAUCUUAACCCUCACUUCUGUCAUUUUCUAAUUAAAUGUUAUUGUUUUCAAUAGUUUUGUGUUGGGCUGCAGGAUUAAUCGAUUUUAAAUCGGAUUAUUAGAUUAUGAUGAUGUUAAAAAAAUUAAAAUCAUCAAAUCGAUUUUCCUCUCGCACCUCCAGGCCACCGUAGGCUCCCCCUUUCUGCGGGAGGCAAUUUAUUUUUUUGUAAUGGUAGGGGAAGGUCAAGCCCUCCUUCACCUUUGAUUUGCUAGAAGUGCUCCGAUUGGUUAUUCCUAAUGGCUGUGAAACAUCAUCGUCUGUCGGGUUAGGGUUAAGGUUAGGAGAUUCAGAAGUGCGAUAAUGGUCUGUAAUUAGGCCUGUUGCGAUAAUCAAUAAAUCGCCUUAUCGCUCGAUAAAUAAAAACGAGGUCGAUAACUUUGCCAGCCUCGAUAAUUGACGUGCGUUUGUUUUCCUCCUCUCUCGCUACCAAACACGCUGGAUGAGAGAAGAGGUCUCACUCUGCGCAUUGUUCUCGGCACCUGGGGGCGUUGGCUCUAUAGCGGAAUGAACGGAGUUAGUGAACCCUCCUGUCAGUCAUUCAGUGUCUUUGUCAUGAGGGGGCUGGCGCGCACAGGCACACAGACACAGACUUUUUGGAUACAGUGCUGCAAGUGAGCGUCGUGAGUGAAAAGCAAGCUAACAGAAUGAACACGACAGCUUUGGUGUCUAAACCGAACGCAACAGCCCAAGUGUGGGAAUAUUUCGGCUUUAAACCAGUUUUGUUUUCGUCAACCACAAAACUCCACGUGUGUGUGUGCGCGCGUGCGUGUCUGUGUGUUGGAGGAGCACAGCAGGCUGAUGAGAGCUGUCAGAGCGGACUGAAGCUGCUCCUGUAUGUUUAGCGUUUAACUGACUGAGUUUUGCAACUCUGUUCGUCAUUUUCGUCUCG
rnacentral:lncRNA from 1 species